rnacentral:rRNA from 1 species
AGCGAACAAGUACCGUGAGGGAAAGAUGAAAAGAACUUUGGAAAGAGAGUUAAACAGUACGUGAAAUUGCUGAAAGGGAAACGCUUGAUGUCAGUCGCGUCGGCUGGGGAUCAACCUUGCAUUCUUGGCUGGGUGUAUUUCCUGGUGGACGGGUCAGCAUCAGUUUCGGUCGUCAUACAAGGGCAAGGGGAACGUGGCACUCUUCGGGGUGUGUUAUAGCCUCUCGUCGUAUGUGAUGGUUGGGACUGAGGAACUCAGCACGGCCUUGCUUGUGCUCAGGAUGCUGGCAUAAUGGCCUUAAGCGACCCGUCUUGAAACACGGACCAAGGAGUCUAACAUGUCUGCGAGUAUUUGGGUGGAAAACCCGAAUGCGAAAUGAAAGUGAAAGUCGAGACCUCUGUCGUGGAGGGCAUCGACGCCCGGACCCGAGUCUCUGACGAAGGAUCUGCGGUAGAGCAUGCAUGUUGGGACCCGAAAGAUGGUGAACUAUGCCUGAAUAGGGUGAAGCCAGAGGAAACUCUGGUGGAGGCUCGUAGCGAUUCUGACGUGCAAAUC